GACGAACGCUGGCGGCGUGCUUAACACAUGCAAGUCGAACGAAGUGGCGAACGGGUGAGUAACGCGUAAUCAACCUGCCCUUCAUAGGGGUACAACAGGUGGAAACGACUGCUUAUACCGUAUACUGCAGGUGGGGAUUGCGUCGGAUUGGUGAGUUGGAGGGGUAACGGCCCACCAAGGAGAUGAUCAGUAGCCUGUCUGAGAGGAUGAACGGCCACAUUGGGACUGAGACACGGCCCAGACUCCUACGGGAGGCAGCAGUGGGGAAUCUUCCGCAAUGGACGAAAGUCUGACGGAGCAACGCCGCGUGAGGGAUGACGGCCUUCGGGUUGUAAAGCUCUGUUAAUCGGGACGCGGUACCGGAAUAGAAAGCCACGGCUAACUACGUGCCAGCAGCCGCGGUAAUAC
rnacentral:rRNA from 1 species